GUCCACAUGGAGGGGGCGGGAACUACGCCCACAUGGAGGGGGCGGGAACUUAGUCCACAUGGAGGGGGCGGCCACUCAGUUCACAUUGAGGACUGGUCAAACAGCAUUUCUGAUCCCGUUUCUGACCUGAAAUUAGCUGAAAUGUACCUGAAAUUACCUGAAAUUAGAGUGUGCCCGCCCGAGCGAGUGAUGCCUAAAACAUGCAAACAAAACUGAAGACCAGGAACUGGAACCUGGGAACCUGAAAGAUGAUGUUGUCCUGAAAGACACAAUUCAGGCAGCAGCAUGGUGCCAGUUACAGUCCUUCAAGGACAGCGUUUCUCUCCCAGAGGUCAUUGGGAUGGAAGGUUGGGAGCAGAUGGCAGCAUCAACACAGCGCAAAUCCCAUGACGGCGGGGAUGAGGAAGAAACG